ACUAAAAGAACUUUGGUAAAGAUUUUCAAUAUUGAAUAAAUACACACAAUAUAUUCUGUUCUCCCUCUUCCCUUUAUCUGUGAUGAUGCCGGCAAAAUUGAACCCGCAAGCCGGAACACAUUUGGAACGCAAGCUGGAACGCACGGAUAUGACGCGACGGCUUGCGAUCGAAAAAAACGGAAGUGACGUAUCGAUAGUGCUACCCGGAAAUGAAGAGAGAAAGAGGCUUGACACGCAGGGCGUCACCAUUCCCAUGGUGAUAGCCCGCGAAAAUUCAAGCCGAAAAACAAGCAUCUUCACCCCAGGAGGGGUACAUAUAGCAGGAGCCAGUGCAAGAAGGUACAGACUUUUUUUCACAUCCAGCUGAGGAAGCCUAAACGGCGAAACGCGUCCUGGAAACAUUGUGAGCUUAAAGACUUUCUAUUACUGGACAUUUUAUGC